rnacentral:rRNA from 1 species
UACGAAGGGGGCUAGCGUUGCUCGGAAUCACUGGGCGUAAAGCGCACGUAGGCGGUUUGUUAAGUCAGGGGUGAAAUCCCAGAGCUCAACUCUGGAACUGCCUUUGAUACUGGCAAGCUCGAGUCCGGAAGAGGUAAGUGGAACUCCUAGUGUAGAGGUGAAAUUCGUAGAUAAUUCGCAAGAACACCAGUGGCGAAGGCGGCUCACUGGCCCGAUACUGACGCUGAGGCACGAAAGCGUGGGGGAGCAAACAGG